ensembl:lncRNA
AGGCCAUCCCUGUCCUCCUCGUGCCUCCCAGGUCCCCACGGGAUGUCCCUAUCUGUCAGUCAAGUCACAGAUUUUCUCUGAAUAAUUACUUUCCAACCAGAAGGCAGCCUGGAUUUGCUGCAGCUGAAUGCAACGUGGUCUCCAAUCCAAGAACACACACACACACACACAUUUGAGUGACACCUGCUUUAGCCCAGCACGCGGUUCCUGUAAUUGUGCCUUGUCUCAUGCAGUCUCUAAUCAUCAACCUCUAUCUGCACACCAUGUGACGCUGUAAAUGGGCCGGGGAGAGAAGACAUUAGACGUGAGAGUCCAAGCCCUGUGGCAGCCUGUGUGUCUGCGAGCAGCUGGAAGAGCUCUGACCACAACAUCUGCGAGGAGCGAGUCUGCGUUUCGGGCUGGCGUUGACAGAAAGGAACUCUGGAAAAUGAAGGAAUCUACUGAGGUCAAGCCUUCUUUUUUUGUGUCCCAGGUGGAGAUGGGAAGGUGAAGGGUCAACGGCAACGAGGAUCAAAAACGUCAAGCUCAAAAGGUUCUCUGUAUGAUAUUCAGAGCACUGUUCCAAGAAACACGAGUCUCUUGUUGUUGACUUUGUUAUUGCCUGGGUGUGUCACUGUUUUCCUUCGUAAACCGCCGGCUCAGCAGUGACUCUAAUGAUCU